AGUAGAAUGGCUGAGAUUAAAUAAGUGAUAGACUGUAAAUCUAUUAAGGAGAAAGGUGUUCUCUUCUACUA
rnacentral:tRNA from 1 species